UACGACUACAUAUCAGGCAUAUCAAUAAGCGGAGGAAAAGAAACUAACAAGGAUUCCCUUAGUAACGGCGAGUGAAGCGGGAAGAGCUCAAAUUUGAAAUCUUAAAGGGUUUCUACCUUGACGAAUUGUAGUUUAAAGAAGUGUUUUCUGUUAGAGGAGUUCGGUAAAAGUUCCUUGGAAUAGGACAUCAUAGAGGGUGAGAAUCCCGUAUUUGACCGUUAUCUUUCUAGCUGUGUGAUACACUUUCAAAGAGUCGGAUUGUUUGGGAAUGCAGUCCAAAAUGGGUGGUAAAUUUCAUCUAAAGCUAAAUAUUGGCGAGAGACCGAUAGCGAACAAGUACCGUGAGGGAAAGAUGAAAAGAACUUUGAAAAGAGAGUUAAACAGUACGUGAAAUUGUCAAAAGGGAAGCGUUUGACACCAGUGUUGUUUUCUCGAAAAUCAAUUAAAGAGUGCUUGAUUUUGUGUUGUAUUGACCUUAAUCAGCUUUCUUCACUCUUUUUCGAGUCUUUCUUAAUGCACCUUUUCGGUUAACAAGUCAACAUCAAUUUCUUUUGUUGUAAAAGGGUAUUUGGAAGGUGGCUUUCUUUUCGGAGAAAGUGUUUAUAGCCUUAUACCUCUACAAUCGGAGAGAUUGAGGUCUGCAGCGUAGAUCCUUCGGGGCUAGAUACACUUGUGCUAAGUUAUAGCUUUUCAUAGACAACUUGUUGACUAUGUUUAGUCAUGUAGCUUACCCGCUUGUGCUAUUUUACCUACGCUUAGGAUGUUGAUCUACAGAGCGAGAGU
rnacentral:rRNA from 1 species